GAAACUAACAAGGAUUCCCCUAGUAGCGGCGAGCGAAGCGGGAAGAGCUCAAAUUUAUAAUCUGGCACCUUCGGUGUCCGAGUUGUAAUCUCUAGAAAUGUUUUCCGCGUUGGACCGCACACAAGUCUGUUGGAAUACAGCGGCAUAGUGGUGAGACCCCCGUAUAUGGUGCGGACGCCCAGCGCUUUGUGAUACAUUUUCGAAGAGUCGAGUUGUUUGGGAAUGCAGCUCAAAUUGGGUGGUAAAUUCCAUCUAAAGCUAAAUAUUGGCGAGAGACCGAUAGCGAACAAGUACCGUGAGGGAAAGAUGAAAAGCACUUUGGAAAGAGAGUUAACAGUACGUGAAAUUGUUGGAAGGGAAACGCUUGAAGUCAGACUUGCUUGCCGAGCAAUCGGUUUGCAGGCCAGCAUCAGUUUUCCGGGAUGGAUAAUGGUAGAGAGAAGGUAGCAGUUUCGGCUGUGUUAUAGCUCUCUGCUGGAUACAUCUUGGGGGACUGAGGAACGCAGUGUGCCUUUGGCGGGGGUUUCG
rnacentral:rRNA from 1 species